rnacentral:sRNA from 1 species
AGACCCUGCCUUUCAGGCAUCCUCUCCUAAAACUUUUCAGGCCGGUCCCUUCGUGGGGCUGGCCUUUCUUUUUGGUCGAU